GGAGGCCGGAGCCCCUGCAAGAGGCAGGGGCAGAGGAGAGGAGGACAUCUGGGAUGGUUUGGGCAGCUGCCCCCCGGGAGAGAAUGAUAGAGACUGUGCUGGCUUGGAAUUUGAUAUCUUGUGCCAGCACCACGGCCAGGAGGAGAAAGGGUGGGGGGCAGGGUGCCUGGCCGCAGGCAGACCGGGCUGAGCUUUUAACGCUUUUGGUAUUGAAACAAUGGAAGCUGUAAAACACUGAUCCUCCCCAGCCGAGAGUUUAGAGGGGAUGGAGGAUGAGAAAGAAGAUAGGGUUUGAGUAGAUGAAGAAAAUGCCAGCAGAUAAGAGUGCCCUAGAUGAAGGAGAUGAUUGGAGUGGCUUUGGCUGGACUUUUCUCUUACAUAGCCAUGGGCAAAACCAAUUUCUUCCGAUAAUGCAGAGACUGCACCUUGGGGGAGGCGGUUGGCCGGAAGCCAAGAAUGAUAAGGCUGCGAGGAGAAGUAGAGUAGAGAGAACAGAAACAGAGGGGGAGGGUGUGGUGGAGCCCUCUGCCUUCAGCGAAGGAUCUCUGUUCCCGAGACCCAGGCCCCAGGGGAGUGAAUAUGGGGGGGACAGGUGUCCCAAAUGGUGAGAGGCGGCCACUUCUUGGAACUAGGCAAGGCAUUCUUAAAAGGACCUAAGGAGCAGUUUGGAUCCAUGGCCGGUGGUGAGAGCACGGGGCAUGGAAGGAAGAUGGUCACCACAGCAGAUUUUCUCCGGGCGGCUGCCGCGUGUGACACAGAAGCACAGGAGGUUCCACUGUGUUUCCUGGGGAGGCCCAUGGUGCAAGAGAGAGACUCCUCUCUCCUAAUGAACUGGGGGGAGCUUGUGUGAAGGAGGGUAUUGGACUGAGAUUUGAAUGUUAGAGGUCUGGGGGGAGGAGGAGUGUUUUGGAAGUGUUCCAUUGUGGAUUGUUGUGUGUGUUUUUUUCUUUUUUCCCUUAUAUUUCUGUGUUGUGUUUUUCCCUCCAUCCCCAAGUUGGAGCCUGCUUUGUUCUGUUUCUGGGUCACAGUAACCAUUUUGGAAAUAUACCUUUCAUGGGGGCCCUGGCAUUGUGCCAGGGUCAAACCAUGACCCGUGUCACAUAAAAAGAAAUGGAUGUUACAAAGGAAUUUUAUUUAUACUUUUAAAGGCCUGAGUAUUUUAGCAUUAAGGAUUCAAAAAUCAGGCUACUGUAUUUUUCUCAUGUUAAAAACUGACAGUCUUUAUUAUCAAAAAGCAUUCAGACAUUAUUAAUUAACUGACAAAAGUCACAUUUCAGGUCUCAUAAUAUACAGUACUUAAAACAUACAUUUAGAAAUAAGGUUUAAAUAUUUUUUGUUUUAUUCUCUGCUUAUGCACAACAAAUAUGCCUGCUUUUUCUGUACAUGGCAGAAUACAUUUAUUAUCUGGAAGCAAUAUCCACUGAAUAACACUGCAUGCCCAAACAGUGCUUUACUGAAUUUUCCCUUAAGUAGUCAAUAUAUAAAAGCAUCAAACUCUUACAAAUUAAGCAUCUCCAAAUGUCUCAUAGUGAACAUAGGAGAAUGCUCUGACCCAACAGAUGUUAAUUGUUUUACAGCUGCUCUUUUUUUGUCGGCUUCUUUUAUGGAGUUGUGAAUAAAUUACUAUUGAUGCACUACUACAAAUUGGUAUGUAGCACUUGGCUAUGCUCCAUUUUUAGCUUAAAAAGCUCAUUAAGUGGAGAGCCUUUCACUCUGUAUUAGGAGAACACAGUUCAGUUCUGACCUGGUCCAACUUUAUGGACAUAACUGAGGUGCAGAGGAGCAAACAUUAAACACAUUUCAUUCCCUUUUUUCCCCUAAUGAGUUUCAUAGCUGCCUUGGAGCUCUCAAAACUAUUCUGUGUGACUGCAGGGAACACUGGGUCACUGAAACACAGCAGUUAUCUACACUGCACAACUAGCCAGUCCUACCCUGGCUUCCUGCCAGCCACCAGCUGAGAUGCAACAGUCAAUAUUAAUGCAAAGGGGACAAUUAAUAACAGAGCUUUUUGUACUUUAUUCUGGAUUAUUAAAAAGAGUUACUAAAAGCCUCAUUAAAUAUGAAAAAAGAAAAAUAAAACACAUAGAAGCAUCUAUCCUGAGGCCCAGUUUUAAGACUCAAGACAAAAGUUUAAAAAAAGGUAAGGAGGUGCUAGGACUAUUAAAAAUUAAUUAUAAAUUAAGCUACUAUAGCUGUUAUUCUUGGAAAUUAACUGAUCAAGUGGCAAAAAUCCAAACACUUUUUCAAAAUUACUAAUUUUUUUUUCACUUCAUUACAAAAAUCAAGAUGACUUCUAGAAUUCUCAGGGGAAUAUAAAGGCUGAUACAGGCUUUUAAGAGUCCAUGUAAAGAUAGUAAGAGCUGAAUUUCUUUCCAUUGUUUUACCAACUUGCCAACAUCAGUAUUUUUUUUUCCAAUAACCAAAUCCAAAUACACUCAUUGAUAUUAGAAAAUCAAGUCAUGACUCUUUUAUGUAAACUAUUAAUUUUAAUAAUAUAAACCCCAUUAACUACUUAGAUUGUGACGUGUAGAAUUGCUCCAAUACCUAUAAAUCAGCUUCCAUAAGUAUUAUCUCUUUAUUUUCCAUACAUCUCUCCAUAAAUUGAAAAGCUUUCUAUAGAAAAAUAACCAAAGGGAGAGGGCAAUGAAUAUACACAAAUUCAUAGCUUUAUAUUUUACUGUCUGUAUUAACAUUAAAGUCAGAAUUAAAAAUUGCAAGCUAUAGUAAUGAAUUGUAUCCAGAGAAGUAGUGUUAAUGUAAUAAGUUCCUCUGUCUCCAUAUGGUGAGUUAAGUAUUAAAUUUGGUUCUCACCUGCUUUAAAACUCCCUUUUUACUUUUCACAUUCCAGUGAAAUAGAUAUGUGUCACCUGCCUUAUAUCCUACAUUAAAGGUUUUGAGGAAUUAAAUAACAGGGAAGAAUUUUAGGAAUACCUGAACUGUUGAUUUUGGAAAAUAUUUCUGAGGUUCAUCUGGACUCCCCUGCUCAAAAUAGGUACAACGAAAAUUUUCUCAGGUCUGUGUCCAGCCUGGUUUUGAGUAUCUCAAAGAUGGAGGCUCCACAACCUCUUUGUAAAAUCUAUCCCAGGACGUGUCCACAUUUACAUUAAAAAAAGAAGCAUUUUUUUUUAUCUUCAUGUGGAAUUUCAUGUAGUUUACCUUCUGCCCACUACAUAUUUUCCUGUCACUGUAUAACCCUGAGAAGAGUUUGCCUCCUUUUUUUCUUGCUCUUUUUUACCAGUUAUUUGUACAUAUCAGCAGGAACCUCUCUAAGCCAAAACUGUUUUUUCAGCAUGGUAACUGCAGAGGCAGUCUCUCCUGAAUCUUCAGAGUUCUAAAGUGGCUGUCUAUCAAUUAGAAAAUCAUAUUCUAACUUAGCUCUGGAAAAUGCCAAAGCUUGACAAAAGCACAUGUUGUGACUCUUGAGGAUGGUCCUGUGCAGUGGCAGGAGCAGAAUAUGAUGGUCCUUUUUGGUCCCUUCCAACUCAGCAUCUUCUGUGAUAAGCAGUAAUAUAGAUGAAUAUUCCAGAGUAGAAUAAUCCUUUUUUUUCCUUUUAGACCUCUUUUUUUAAUAGCAUAAAAAUGCAAGAAAACUGUCUUUUUAGUCUUCUGUAUAAAAAACAUUUCAGAAGAUAUCAGUCAGAGCACUUACUUUUACCACAGAUAAAGGUGGUUUUGUAGACAAAAUUGCAAUAUUUAAGAAGCACCAGAACUGCAUUUUCCUCAGUGGUUCAGUCAAAGCAACAGGAAUCCUAAACUGAACCCUCAGCUACAGUGUGCCCAUCAUUCAACUGCCUCUUUGACAGAUUUUUGAUGAGAAAUGGCAAAACAUUCAGUGAAGUUUAGGUCAGCCUUUUAGCCAUACAAUACAUGCAACAAUGGGCCAUUCUGCAGUAAGGAUUUAUGGUGUUUAGUGCAUUCAAUCAAAUCAACGAACAGCCUGAGAAACCACAGUGCUCACUGACAAAUUUAUUCCUUGUAAGCUAGAGGCUAUUGGAUCAUCUGAAGUAGAGAAAUUAGAGCUUGCUUUCAAUACAUGCAGCUUGAAAUUUAGGGCACCAACACACACCACAAAGCUCCAAGGACAUACACUUCUAGUCACUACAAAGGCUUCAAACACUCAUGUUUCUAUCUCUUCUUUCCUUCUACAAACGUGUUUUUUUCUUUCAUGCUCUGAAAGUUUAUUAUGUUCUUUGUUCCACAGACAGCUACCAGACCUCUUUCACCAGCUUCAACCUGAAAAACUGUCAUGAGUUUAUCUCUGGAGUUCUUCUUGUGCUCCUAGUUCUUUACUCUCAUGUGCCACCCUCAGAUGAUCUCAAAUUUUCACCUAUGUCUCUCCUCCUCUCCCCUAAAUUCAUUUGAGCCCGCCUUCACAAUCAUUACCACAAUUAAUUCCCUACUUUAUUCCUAGAUCUCUCAGUUUGUAACCAAUCAAACGUGACACCAAUCAACUAAUUAGGGAAAGCAUUAACCUGUGCUGCAGUGCUUAUGCUCUAAUGGAAUUAACAAUCUUGAGAGAUAUAGGACAGCAGUGGAGUAGUCAGGACCUUGAAUUUUAGGAAAGGAAACUUUCAGUUGAUUAGCAGUUUAGAUUAGAUUUCAGUAUUUGGGUCCAUGGGAUCCCCUAUGAAACUAUCUUCAGGGAAGAGGGAUCCUAACAAAGCUGUCACCUCUUUAAAGACCUUUUUUUUAGAGCACAGUUCUUGAUUUACCCAUGUAAGAAAUCAGGUAAAGAAUGCAGAAGACCAGCAUGCCUUAGUAAGUGUCUCCUGGGUAAACUGAAGUGUUAGAAGGAAAUACACAGGCCAGGAAUAAGGCACAUAAACCUGGAGAGAAUAGGGGAUGUCGUCUGGAUAUGUUGUAGCGGCAUUAGGAAAGCUAAGGUCCAUAUAGAGAUUAAUUUGGCAAGAGCUGCAAAGAAUAAGGGAUUUACAGGUACAUUGCCACAAAAGUAAGGUUUAAGAAAAUGUACCACUGCAAUAAAUAAGACAGGAGCACUGGCAACAUUCAAUAGAAAGAAGACUGAGAUAUGAGAUAGUCAACAUUUUUUUUUGCCUCAGUUUUUACUGUUAAUCUCACUUCCCAACUCUCUCAAGCUCAUGCCAGGCACUGAGGCACUGAAGUCCUUCCCAUCCUAGGAGAAGGUCAGGUUUGAGGAACCUGAAUAUACCUAAGUGUGUGGAACUCCAUGAGAUGCACCCCAGGGGUCUGAGGGAACUGACUGAUGCAGCUCUCUCCAAAGGAUUAAUCAAAUAUAAGAUACAUCUUGUAUCAGGCUGGAUGCAACUUUCAGACUACUGGACCCCAGAAAUGAGACCCCCACAGAGAAUGUUUAUGCAUUUUGGCAUGUGAAGCUUCUCUUUGAGUAACAUCCUCUAUUAACUAAACCCGUAUUAGACUUCCUUCUGUUCCUGACAAAAUGCAAAGGGAAAAGAACAUAAAUGCCUUUUUAUCUUACCAUCUCUGGUCACUAACACCAAGAGCUGCAUUCUUUGCCUGUGUACCUUUCAUCCCUCACUGGCACAACAAUCAGUACAGCAUCAACAAGAUAAUUCAAGAUUUCACCACACAAUCUGAGAAAAAAUAUGUAAUUUGCAGUCUUUUUAACGGGCAGCACCUCUCCAAAGAUGUGUCAAGGAGAAAACCCUUAAUUUGUGAUAACCGAGCAUUCAGAUGUUGAAUAAAUCAGGUAUCAGGAUGUAUUUACAUUUUUCAAGGAUUUUGAAUAAAAAGCUUCUAUCUCCCCAGCUGCCUUUUUACUUGUGCUCCUCUCUUUUAAUUUAAUGUCGGUCUUUGAUGACAACUGGGUUUAUUGCUGCAGGUAUGGAAACUGGUAUCCUCAGCACUAUUUCCCCUUGGAAAUCUCUUCCUCUAACUUAAGAUUGCUGUGUAAAGAGUGUGGUUGUUAUGGAAAGCAGCUCAAUGCCUUUUCUUGGUUUUUAUUGCUCUGAUAUUUUCUGAGAGUUACAGGUAACUCUUACAGUAUUUUAGUAUUGAUUUUGAGACAAGUCCUCUUUGACCUGAGAAAUCUGAAAUGAAGAAAAGUGCUGUGCUGAAAAAGUAGGAGCUAUCACCUGAAUGCAAGUAACAGCCCCUCCAGGAGAAACAUUUGUUAAAUUUAGGAAGUUUAGCAAUGCAGCUGUAGUUCUGCCAAUUGACCUCAAAGCUCUUCACCCUAUACAGAGAGAUUACACUGAUUGCAGAAAAGAAAAAAAUGAACCCUUUGAGUAGAGUGCUCACAGUGGAAGGGACUUUGCCUCAGGGGGAAUAAAGGAGAUCUUUUCUGGUCUGCUCCUUCCACUACAGACGAUCAAAAAAGGCCAAAUAAAGGUGAUUACAAUUGCAAUCUUUAUUAGCAAUAAUUAGCAUGGCAACAUGAAGUGCUAGAGAGCAUGCUCCAACUCUGAAAUUUUAUGAAGCAUGAACUGUACAAUUCUAACUGUGAAGAUAGAUUACCUUGACAUUUGAAGAAUUUGACAUGAGGAAAAAUGGAACAUAAUACACACAACUCAGAAGUCUGUGCAAAUGACCUCUGCAUAAUUAUUUGAAUGGAUGAGCAAAGAAAUGUUUAUCUCCUUUAUAUUGCAGUUUUUCAACUCUGCAAGUCAUUUAAGCAAGAGGUCUCUAUAUUGGUUUUGGGGGGGAGGGGGGACAACUGCUUCCAAUAUUCUAUGGAAAAUUUUUCAGAAUUAUUGAUUUAUGUUUACCUGAGGUCUACUCAAGUUCCAAGGAAGAGAAUCACAGAAGAAACAAUAUUUCUAUGGCUUAGUCUGACAUUAAAGUACUAUCUGAUCCAAGAAUAGAAGCAAGAGUAUAAGAAAACAUUGAUUUGAACAAAUGGGCUAAUAUAUUUUUUCCUCUCUUUUUUUUUUUUCCUUUUUUCUUUUUAUUUAUUCCAAACAUAGAAGAUAUUGAGUACUUUAUGCCUAGAACCAAUUAGAUGCCUAUAAAAAACGCAUAACCAAGGAUAGAUAUUGUAUUUAUUAUGUCAGAAUAUAUUAGAUCACAAUGACACCACUUAACCAGAAAGUAUCUAUACUUAUAUAUUUGAAGAGAACUACUGACACAUUUUCAACACAACAGCAGUCAUGCUAACUUCAACAUUAUAACUCAGAUUUUCAAAAGAGCCUAUAGAAAAUAAAACUUUUAGAAAGGCUAGAGAGUGUCAUAAUACUGGCAGUCUAGAAAAUACUUUGUAAAUAGAUUAAGAAGCAGAGAUGUCUCUGUUUUCAUAUUUGUUAUUGGAAUAAGAAAAAGAAAAUAAAAAAGGAUUUUCAGAAACUGACCUUCAUUAAUAUGUCAACUUAUAACCUUUUACCAUUCACCUAAUAGUGCAAGUGGAUUGUAACCUUAAAAAAAAUACCAGAGACAUUAACAUUUCAUUUCAAGACUAAAUUUACCAAAAAUCACCUAACACAGAUCAUGAUUAGGUUAGCCAAAGAAUAUUUAUAGUAGUAAAACCUUGAAAAUUUUUUUCACGGAAUGUUACAAUUUCCAAGCAUAUAAAUAGUAAAAAAGAAAUUACACAUCUUUAAGCAAGACAGUACUUCUUAAAGUUAUAAAAAACCCAAACAAGCAAACAAACAAAUAUAUCUGCACUGCUCCAAUACUGCAGUUCACACAUGAGGUAGCUAUUUCUCUACUGCAGAUUCUGUUAAAAAAACAAAUUUGACUUGACAUGUCCUGGCAAAUAGCAUUUAAAAAAAUAGCUUUGUCCUUAUAAAGAUUAUUGUUCUGAUAUAAGGUGUAAAAGCAAACAACAAAAAUUAUUUGUCUCCAAGAAUCAGUUAUAUCUUUAUCUACCUUUGAUAUCUACUGUAAUGUAAACAAUCCAACUUUCUUCUAUGGGUGUCUUGCUGAGUUAUUUCAAUAGGGCAAACCUAUGAAAAUUUUAUGACUAUCCCUUCCAGAUAGGGAAUGAACAAGUCCAAGAGACCUACAUAUAACAAUGGUUAUAGAUGUUCAUAGAGAGCUGUGAUUUUUUGUAUUUGUAGUCCCUUUUCUCCACCUGUGACCUUCAAAGAUAAAGGCUCACUUCUAUAACUCUGAUAGAUUUUUUUCAUAUAUCCAAACUGGCAUUUAGUAGAAGAAAAUAUGAUGGUUACUGUUCCCGAAUUAGUCUGCUUGCUAUUGCUGAAGAGUGAGCACUGGUUUAUAGAGAAUCUCUAACAGUGUACAGUCUGUAAUUUCAGUCUAAAUAAACUCCUAUAAUGCUUCUAUUGAUCUAACAGAGCACACACAGUGUAAAUCCCAGACAAAUCCAAAAAGACAAUUAACUAAAAUUUUAUUACCUGUAGAAACUAGUGGUGGGAAAGCCAAUGUUGAUUUUCUAAUUGUGAUGUGUAGAGUUUACUUACAUUGGAACCAUUUAAUGUAUAAUUUUUACAUGUGUAUAUAUGUUUCAUAUUAUACUGUUAUAUACAAGCAAUUAUUUCUAAGAUACAACUGUUUUAUCUGAGUAACUCAUACUUUUUCAAAAGUGGUUUUCUAAAUAUACAGUAAUGCUCUUCUCCAAAACCAAUUUUGUAGUUUCCAUCCCAUUGUAAUUUUUUAAAAGAUAUUGUGACUGUUAUGCUCUGAAAAUAAUUCUCUAUUUCAAAAGAAAAAGCCUUGUAAUUGAAGAUGAAACCUUGGUAUUCUUCUGGCUGUGAAGUCAUUUCAAGAUAAAAUAAACACAGGUAAUGUCUUGACAUUAAAACUGACACAUUUAAUUUACAAAAAGUUUGACCCUUGACCACUUUAGAAUUGCUUUAAGAACAUAGGAAAAAGGAACAAUGCCUAUGAAACCAAUGAAAUCUGUUCCAAGAAGUGAAACAUAGAUUUCACUAAUGACCUCUCAAGUCAAAGGAAAAAGUACAGUUUUAAUAGUAAUAAGGAUGGGAUCUGCACCCUGUCCUUUUAUGUGGAACUGUUUAUUACUGAUUCUCCAUGGUUCAAAAGAAUAUAAUGUCAGCAGCAAUGCCCAUAAUCCUUGAAAAAAUUUGUUCCUUUGUGCAUGUAUUAGACAUUGCUGAUGCAUGAAAUAUCUAAUCUGUAGCUAACAAAGACAGAUGGUUUUCCCAUUCAUUUCUAAUGAGCCAUUUUUAAAGUGUCAGCAGCAUUUUUUGUUUAUUUGCUUGUUUAAACUUCCUAUUUUAUUAAGGUUUUCCAAAUAAAAAAUGUGCACGUUCUUUAAGGGAGCAGUUAAAUGGAGGGGAAAAGAACAAGCAGGAAUGAGUCUAUUAUGAAUCAUGUGCAGCAGAAGCAUUAUAAUAUUAGGAUUAGAAAUAAUGUGGUAGUGAAAUCUGUCAUGAAAACUUUUUUCAGACAUUCUUUUUGUGUAUUGCCUAUCUUAUUUCUAUCUAUUGUAUUUUUAAUUCUCACCAUCCCACACAUCAUUACAACCCACGACAUCUCACCCAAGAUGACUAUGUGGUGGCAGCAUUUUUGUUAUUGACCAGAACUGUAGCUACAAAAGACAAGCCAUUGAAUUUCAGUUUUAUUGUCAUUGCUACAUAAUGUGAUGAGAGGAUGAAUUAUGUUGAAUAUGGCCUUUGUGUCCAGCAAUUCAGCAUGUUUUUUCUAUGAGGCUGUUAUGGCAGCGUGUGAAGUCUUGCUAAGGUCAAAAGAAACAAUCCACAGUCCUCUCAUUAUCUGUCAAGCCAGCCAUUUCAUUGAAUGAUAUCAUCAGGAUGGCUUUCCCCUUCGUGAAAACGUUCUCCUGAGCACCUUCUUUUCUAUCAUGUGUGUGGAAACAGUUUCAAGGGUUAUUUUCUCCAUCAUCUCUCCAGGGACCAGGGUAAGGCUAACUUGACCACAGUUGCCCAGAUCCUUCUUGCCUUUCUUGAAAGUAGCAGUCAUUUUCUUCAUUCCUAGCCUUCUUUUUUUCUUUCUUUGUCCAUUCCACUCUCUGACAUUUUUCCAUAACCCUUCUUCUGAUCCUUAAACACAUCUCCUUGUCACCAAGAUUUUUUAGAGAUAAUCAAGAGCGGCCUCACAAGGACUUGAGCUAUUACCUCAGGACUCAGAAUAUCUCCUCUCAGCAGCCUGCAGCUGAGAAUCUCCCAGUUUGCCAUCACUCAUCCUUCUGGUGCUGCCUCAUGACUCAGGUUAAACUGAUUGAGAUGCUUCACUGGACAGAGCUUCUAGGUCAUCCUCUGGUACCGGGUCACUGAGCCUACUCUGUAGUGGCAGAGCUCAGAUAGCACAGGACCCCUCAUCCUGUUGUCAAGGUUACAAGCUUCUAGCCUUCAUUGUAACUCCAUUUCCAAAAUCUUAUGCAAAGGCUCUUUCUGGUUCUCCUUCACUAUGUCUGGGAUUUCAGGUUCUUGUAAUUGGAGGGUCUUGGACAGAAUGAUAUUGUCCCCAUCUCAGCUUCAUAUAGUGCUGACUGCCUCCUGAAGCUCCUUUACUUGGCAACACAGAUCCUCCUCCGGCAUACAAGUGCUUCCUCCAGGCAGGGACACUAUCAUCAGAUCCCAGCCUCAACAAGAGGUUCCAGACAUUUCUGUAGCUCUAGGCCUACAGAACUGCAUCCUCCCUGAGGAGCUCAGUCUGGUUUGAGGUCUCCAUUGGGCUGAUCUAGUUACUCCUGUGGAUGGUCAUGACAGUGCCCUGCAGCACCUCACUACCUAAGUACAUAGUGUCCUCAGUGGAAUUUCUGGCCCCUUCUACUCUGUCGGCUGUGCUCUGGGCUUGGCAGUCAUAUACACUCUUUCUAGCAUUUGCUGAAAGCAUGCUUGGCUGUCCUUAAUGUGGAGUCAACUGGAAACAAAAAGCUUCAAGUCCCCAUAAAUCAAGGAAAGUUGGCAACAAAGCUUGUGGGACACUGCUGCAGCUUGUUAGCAGUCACAGCCUUCUGUAGCUAUCCCUUCUGGGGAGCAUCAGGCACCCUGAAGCUCUUCAAAGUUUCACAGUAGUCCUCUAAUGACCCCAGGAGUUCCCAGGAAGCUUAGCAUAUCAUAAGCUAGAGCCCAUAAACUGCUGUGCAAACUGCUUUGUUUGUUAGCUCUGCUCAUGUAUUAUUAGUACAUUAUUUGCAAUGAAAGUGUUUUACUGCCCUACAGCAAUGAUAAAUUUGGGUAACACAUUACAUUUCAUGCACUCUUAAAGCUAUGCUUGAGGUACCUUAUUAUUUUAGAAACUGGUUUAAAGUCCCUCCAUUUAACUCAUGAGUUCAUCGAAUGAUCAUUUGUGUCUCUCAGGGUGUUUGUAAACAAAAUAAAUUAUAAAAAAAUUAUUCAAAAUAUAUCACCUAAUGAUUAAAUAGGUGGAACAAUGCUAUUGUUCAGGAAGAAAAACUUAAUAAGCUAAUUUUGGAGGGAGGGGGGUAUUUCCCAGAUACUUACUGUGUUUUGUUUCAAAUUUUAAUAUUUAUUGGGAUUUUGAAAAAAAUGAUCUUGUUCUUUGAGAAGACUGUUGAGUUAUGGCUAAAAUAUGCCCUAAGGAGUGCAGAAUGUCAGUGACUGUUAGAUGAUGCUGAGGUGGCACAGCAAUAUUUUCUUAUUUUGCUAAAGGCAAUAGAAACCCUAAAGAUCAUUUCACUGUAGUAUGACAAGAAGCACAAUACACAUUUGGAGUAGCUAGCAGUAUUACCAGAGAAGAACUAUAAAACACUCACUAUCUGUGGAGGAAACACCUUUUUGUGUUUUCAUACAUUUCUUUAGCUAAUUUAUUAGUAAAUCUCCCGAUUGUCCAUAUAAAUAUUUUAAAGUUGGUUUUGAGUAAGAAAUACGUACAUAACUUGGUACUAGGAUGAAGGAAAAAAACCCUACAACUCCAAAUGAAAGAUAAGUCAGAAGCACAACAGACAAAUGCUUUGGGAAACGUCUCUAUAGCAAGAGAGGAAGAGCUGGCCAAAGAACCCUGAAGAAAUGAUGCAUAACAGUUGCUGCUUGCAGUAAAAUACUUAAGCAUUGGCAUCUGGGAUCACUGAAUACCAGGGUGAUUCCCUUCUAUGGGAAAAGCUGCUUCUUGCUUUUGGGGGGAAAAAAUUAACGAAAGGUAUAGCAGUAGUUAAAAGGAAUGUGAUUAAAACCAGAAGGCACACUGAACACAACAUUAUAAUUAUAAUCAUAUUGUGACUUCCUUUAGAAUUCCAUUAUGGUUUUAAAACUCAUUCAUUUAGAGAUGAAAACAUCUUUAAAAUGCACUGUGUAAAUAGGCAUGCUUUUACUUACAGAUCGUUCAGAUAUUUAACUUAGGAAUCACCUGCUUCUACAACUCGGCACAGAGCAAUUUUUGCAUAUUUCUGAGAAAAUGCAGUGGCUGAUUUUGACUUUGUUUUUCUAAAUAAAUCCUUUCCAGAAGGGGAAAAAAGAAGUAAAACAGUAUGCUAAUAUUCUGUAACAGUACUGUAAUUUAAGUAUGUGUCGCCCUGAUUUUUUAAGAUUUUCUAAGCCUUCUGAUGUUUGCAUUCUUGUAUGAAACUUUCUCACACACUUUCUGUAAACAACUUAUUGUUUUGCAUUCUUUUAUGGAGGAGGGGAAACUUGAUGGACUGUUGGUUUGUCCAGUGUCCCUGGAGAGGUGGUACUUUCACCCUCCAAUCCUCUGUCACCUUUGGAAAUCUAUAAAUGUAGGAGUCAGAAAAUAAACGGGCUCUUUUUCCUGUCUGAGAGCAGCAGUGUGUCUGCAUCAUGUUGUCUUGUGUCCUGUAGCAACAAAUAUGCAUGACACUGAAUAUAUCCUAAUAACUUAAAACCGGUCUUUUCUUUCAGAGCUUAGCACAGGUUACAUUAAUGAAAAACUAUUUUAUUAUUCUGAAAACACGUGGCUUCAAAUGUUAAGGAUCAAAGAGGAAAGCAAUAGGGCAAGAUGUUUUACUUGGAAAUGUACUGAGAAAGUAACAACAAAGAGGCAGGAAAAGUCUAACCUUAGUGGACAGUAUGGUUAUCCAAAUUGCCAGUUGGCAUAAAUCAUUACCUAAGUAAAGGCAAAGAAAGAUGAUCAUGACAUGGUUACUAAUUGAAGAAGCAUUGCUAAAGAAGACUAGCACAGUUUGAGAUGAGUUCUGAAAUCAUGUAAAAUACCCUCUUCUAUGAGCACAAAUUAUUCUUUCAGCUGGAGUCUAAAGGGAGAUAGGAAAACUAUGGCCUCCUACAGGACAGGAUAAGUACAGAAGAGUUUAAAUGGAGAGAAUUUAAAUACAGAUGACUGUUUUGCACACAUUUGCAGCAAUUCUCAGAAGUGCUUAAGGAACUUGAGCCUCAAAUUUUAAGGUGAUGUUGGCAGUUACCAACUUUUGUCCUUGCAGAACUUAGUGGGAAGGAGAGCUUUCAGCAUUUUAUAACACAGCCAGCCAUAACUGUGAAGGGGUAAAUGGAGAUCUGUGAUAUAGUUGCACAAACAGGAUGUAAGAAAAUAUGCAAUAAGGAAAAUAUAAAGGAUAAGAAUGAGCAGGCAGGAAAAAUGACUGUCUCCAAAUCAAAGCAAACAAAUAAAAAAAACCCCCAAAAUACCAAGGAGUCUUGAUUGCAAAAAUAAAAUAUCAGGAGUGGAUAAGAUAGCAUGAAGAAUUGGACUUCAGUUUACACUGAGAUAAUAAAAAGGUGUCUUAGUGAAUGGAUUCAAGUGCUGACAAAGGAUAACAUUUCUGUAUUCAACUGAAGCAAACACUGAACCUGUCACAAAACAUAAAAGAUAAAUUACAUAAGAAAAUAUACUUAGGUAGGUCUAAUUUCCUGUUUGGUAUGGAGAAGUCUAUUUGUAUGUCAUAAGCAGAAAAGCGACAGCAAGGCACCAUUUUUAUUCUUUAUAAAAAACUCAACGACAAGAAUUGACAAAUGCAUUUGUGAAUAUACAGAAAGAACUGAGUACAUUGGAAAGACACUUGGAUUAAUUCUCCAAGUUCUAAUAUCAUAUAGAUUACAGACAAGUUCCAAACUAUUCUACAUCAUUAGAAACUCCGGUUCAUCCAUAAAGUUAUGUUGCCUGUUAUUUGGCAAGAAGUUAAAUAGAUUUUCACUCAAAAGUUGGUAACAGCAAAGGAGACACAGGAGGUUUAAUUAGGGUUUGAUGUUACUAGGGCUAAACCUCAGAAUUAUCAAUACAAUAGAGAAGAAAUUUGGAAUUCGGCUGAUACUAGAUGAAUCUGUCCAUAAAUCUUCAGAGCCAUAGUUUGAGAUUUCAUGUUAUCAUGAGGAUUAAAAUCACAUAGCACUGGAAAUAAAUGCAUGAAAUAAAUGCAUGAAUUUUUUCUAAAUUAACUUAUUUAGCAUGUGCCAUGAGCCAAACUGAAAACUGAGAAGGAAGAAAAAGAUAUUUCUCAUUUCAUCAGCUGAACAUAAAUUAAGUCAAAUGAAAGGUGACAUAUUAAAAACUAUUCACAUCCAACAAUUCAAGCCUGACUACUGGUUCAGAAUCUUUCUUACCUGAUUUUUUUAAAAAUAAAAAUAUGCAUCUGAGAAGGCUUUAUUUUCCUUUUUUUUUCCUGUUGGGAUGUGAUUUACUUUUCUAUGAUGGAAUUCAUAAAGAAAGAUACUCAGUGUGACAGAUUUGGUGACACUUCAGUUUUGCCAGAUAGUUUUCAUUUCAAGAUUCAACAAUGAAUAGCCCCAGAUAAAGAAAAUCAACUCAAAAGUGAAAUUUUAAAUUAGUAAUUAUGUUUUGUGUAAUUAUUGUUUUAUCACACAUUUGAAUUUGGUAGGAAAAUAUUUCCUUCUUCAUUAUAUUCACUUUCUUUCUAUACAAAUAUAUUAAAAAAUAUAUUUUUAAGCUGUUGCACAAUAAAUUACUUAUUUUUUAAGUAAGUGAUGUUCUCAGCUGGACUUACAAAUAUUUACAAGAAAGUAAGCUAAUGAAGAAUAUCAAAGCAUAAAAGAAAGCUAAAUUUCUCUAUCCUUUACAUUAAUUUAAGUUGUAAGUGGUAUCAAGUACCAGUCAUGGUGAGGCAAAUUUCAAAGAAAUUCAGAGUAUUCUGAGUAUUGCUGCCAGCAGCUCAACUCACAGCAGGAAAAUAAACAGUGCCAAAACAUGGCCACAGGCAAGAAAACUUCAUUGCCUAUCACUUGUGCAUUCUCAGAUCACUUGCUGGUCUCACUUUGGUCCAGGCUAAUGCCUGUCCAAAACAAUGCCUGAGCACAGCUCAAGAACUGCAAUGAUCUUUUCUGUUAGGCAACUAUAAUCCAGUUAUCCUGUUUUAAAAACCACAUUUACAUUUAAAGACAUGGCUGGAUUUCCUCAGGUUCAGCUAUCAGUUACUGCCACUGCUUAUCUACUGUAACACAAACACUUUGUCUUGUUGAUGUAGCUUUUAAGAGAAAAGUAUUAGUCAAGGUAAAAAAAACCAACACAUUUUUUUAAAUUAAGUGUAAUUAUGAUCUUUUAGCAUCUCUGAAUACAAACAAGGACAGUUCUAUGAUUGAAAUGAAAUUUCUUUAUAAUAUAAAAAUAAAACAUUGAGCUAUACUAAUUUUCCUCGGUAUUGCCAUGUCUCAGAGACAACUCUAGGUAUCUUUGAAGAUAUUGUUUUGUUUGGUGUAACCUACCCUUUGUAUACGAUGAUUCAAUGGUAUAUCUAAUUUUCCUGUUCUGUUAUGUCAACUAGAACAAAUAGCUCUGAGAAAAAAUAUGCCUGGUGCUUACACUUCAAACCAAUUUUCUUGUAAAUAUUUUCUGUAACAGUUCUGUAUUUGCAAAAUCCAGAAAAAAUACUUCUUGAGCAUUUUUACUCUCAAUAAAAAAUAGAAAGUCCUUGGAUUUGUGUAUAAGUAGUUGACCCAACUAUGAGUAAUAUCAGAAGAAGUCCUGUCACCUUCUGCAAUACAUAUAAUUCUUUCUGGCUGGAAAAAUUGGGAAAAUGUAGGGAUUCAUGGCUGCAGGCUUUAAAAAGUGGAAAAAUAUAAAAUAAAGAUAUUUUAACAGGUUUUCUCAAGAUUGCUAUACUUUAUUUUAUUAAAAUAAAAAUAUUUUACCAAACUAAGAAAUUUUAUACCACAUAAAAAUAUAGCUCUAGGAUAUCACAAAUCAUUGUGGUUAAGUUUUGAACAUAAAAUGAUUUGACUUAGUUAUGAUUAGCUAUUUGGGAAAUAGUUUCUCCAUUGUCAACUGUAGUUAGUUUCCUUUCUGAUUAUUGUCUAUAUUACCAGGAAUAU